ensembl:lncRNA
CCCCCCGCGCCCCCCCGAGUCCCCGGCGCUGCCUGGCGGGGGCGGCCAGGCAGGGCAGGAAGGGGGGAGCCGGACUCUCCUGACCCCGGCUACCGCCCCGCUGCCGCGGCGGCCCCCAGCGCUGUCCGGCGCUGGAGGGGAGAGAGGGGCGAGCGCUACGCGUUUAUUAGCGGGAAGGCGGGCGGGCUGUGGCAGAAGAUGUCGGCGGGGUGGGCGGGAAGGCGGCGGGCGGGCGGCUGAAAGGCGCUUUCUCUGCGCGGUGCCGGCGCGCGGAGGGAUACGACGCACGGCGAGGAGGAGGGGCUGCGCGGCAGCGGCGGGGCCGGGGCGACUCGCGGCGGCGGCGCUGGAAGUUCCCGAGCUCCAGUGCCGCAAGAAUGGGAAGCGAGCGAAACCAAAAUGUCCCCGGGGAGCGCGGCCCCGCUGGGGAGGCCUGGCACUUCCACAUCCCCGGCUCGCGGCUCCCCCUGUGCCCAGCCCGCUCCCUCGGAGCCAGCCGGGAACCUCGGGGCGCUGCCAGGGGCUUUGGCAUCUGCGCGAGCGGUGGGCAAGAGGAGCAGCGUUGUCAACGCGAGCACCAGCGAGGGAUGGUGAUGCCUGCACCCUAUGGCUGAGCUGGAGGUUGUGGAGUACCAGUGCUUCACUAGAAGUGUGAUCAGACAGCAAAUGAUCCCUGCAUAUACGUGACACUGGUUGCGUUUUUUGUUUGCUUCCUUGUUUUUAACCUAAUACUAAUGUAAGAUGAAGACUGGCACACAUGACUCCCUUUUCCCAGGUGAGGCCCUACCACAAGAUUAAAAGAUUGUGAUCAUUCUAGAUGGACUGAUCGGUAGUUUUCUCAUGCAGAGUGGAACGGCUUUCUUAAUAGAGAUUAGGAAGAACCCGCUCUUGAGGAUAUUU